rnacentral:misc_RNA from 1 species
CAACUUCAGUCGUUUUAAAGCACAUUUAGGCACACGUGUUUCAAAGCAAGGGCGACGAGAGAGAGAGGAAGAGAGAAAACACGAGACAGGAACGAACGAAGGGGGGCGCCCAAAGGGGAGAGGCACGUACGCAUCUGUGGACGCAACUUGAUCCCGCUCACCUUUGUUUGCUUGCAGGAGAAGCACUUUCUUGUAUCUCAUCCCCCGCAUCUCCCUGUUUUUGUGGUUCUUCUUCCCCCUUGCACAUCUCUCUCUCUCUCCUUCUCCUCCUUCGCGGGAGACAUCCGGUGCUCGGCAGCUCUCUUUGCUUCGCUUCCGAUUGUGUGUCUGCGGCUUCCACGUGAUCAAGUCAUCCUUAAUACGUGUGCGUGCGCGCGUGCGCACUGCACGCCCCCGUCCCUCCUGUCAAUCUACCUAACCCUUCCUCCCCGCUCACCCACUCACACACGCGCGUAAAACGCGAAGUCUACACCGAACCUUACAGUCCCUAUUUCUCUCUUUUUUUCCCAUCUCUGUCCACUGUGUAUCCACGAGCGGCGGCACACAGGCGCGUUGUGAAGAAAGAGACCUUGCACGCACACUUAGGCAUACGUACACACACACACACACACACACACAUACGAGCGAACACGCCCACCUUCAGACGAGCUCAGCUGACCGUGGAGGCGGUCGUGCAUUCUUUUCUGUUUUUUUUUGUCAAUCGUCGUUUGCUUGCGCGUCUUGUGCUCGUUUUCCAAAGAGCGCCGCGUUGCGGCGUCUCCUGCUCCUCUUCUCUUUUUCCGGUGUGGCGGCAGAAACGCUUGCUCUGUCGCCUUUCUUCACAUUCUCGGGUACCCUACUCUCCCCUUUCACAACCACUCCCAUUUACCGGUCUCCUGCUUUUGUUUUUCGCUCGAGAUUGCACAUCGCACGCUGAUCAGGAUUAGUGAGUGUGCGCGUGUCCGGUGCACGCAUUUUUUUGACUGCGAGUUUUUAUUUUGUGGAGAAAAAUCUUCUCCUACAUACCGAUUGUGGGCUGCUGCUGCUGCCGCCGCUUCGCGAGGAGAUUCCUUGCGUGUGUGCGUGUGUGUGUGUGUGUACUCGCAGAUAUCUUGCUGUCCUCUAAUCCUUGCAAAGCGUUUUGUUGUGCUGCCCCUCAACUUUCUUGGCGUCUUCACAUUUGGCUGCCUAUCCUGCACCUAUACACACCUCCGCCCCGCUCUUGUGGUUUACCCGUUAAAGCUCUUCGCGCAGUCACACAGGCGCAUACACAACAAGGCACGCACUUCGCCGAGAUGCAGGAGCUCCCUCGUCGAACGGCGAGGAAAACUCGGCGGGAGGCAACUGGGGAGCCUCUCACUACCGUGUCAUCCACCUCGACGGCCACAAAAGAUGAGGAUGCACAAAGGAGUGGGCUGGCUGAGAAUGACCUGUCAGGCGCGCUUCCGCAAACCUCUGCAGCUGCUGCCUCCCCCUUCCUUGGGUCGAGCCGCAACUCCACAUCGGGGUCCCUUGUUGAGUGCUGGAUCUGCUUCGACCCCACCAGCACCCCCUUGAACCCUAUUGUCACCCACCGCUGCCGCUGCCGCGGCUCUGUCGGAUAUGUUCAUCAAAAGUGCAUCGAUCGCUGGGUCAUUCAGCAGCGCAACCGCGCUUGCCGCAGCUGCGGCGCGUCCUACCAGCUGGUGCACUCCGAAUAUCCCCCCGGUGCAAACCUUCCGCUGAGGCCGCACGAGCGCCGCGUGUUUUUGUUGAAGUUUUUGAUUAAGCCGCUCCUCCUCGAAUCCGCCGAGACGCUCUGCUGCGUCCUUCUGCGCUUUUUCGUCCUCCCGCUCCUGCUCGGGCUCGUCUACAGUUUUCAUCGCUGGCCGCUGCUGUGGCGGCCCAUGUCGACCUUUGCAGCAUCACCGGAGCGGAACUUUAGCUACACCGCCUCAGUCGGUGUCCCCGGCAGCCAGGAGGUGCUGGAGAAUGAGGACGGCACGUACACCUUGACGGAGUCCUUCUUGGCGUGGGCCGACGCAAUUCUCUUUGGCCUCGUCCUGUGCACCGUGAUGAACGCGGUGGCUGUGGGGUGGGAGAAGUGGAACCACUACUUCCGCGCUGCCCGGGAGCGACUCGCCCGCGAGACGGCAAGGCGAGCUGAGGAAGGAGGGUUGGCACGAGCGGCAGCGAUGCCUCCGGUAGGCCCUCUCGACUUUCAUGAGGAGAACGGCCCGGCAGAGGGAGUUGAGGAGCGGGCGGAGGCCACGGAGCAGGGGGGAACAAUGAUUCUCCACAGGCGCAGCUGCCGCAUCAUGAGGAAGCGUCGCCAGAGGGUUUUAUCGUCGAGGGGUGGAGACCGGAAUGGGGACCUCUGCCGGCGGCGGAGCAGGAACUUCUGCCGCGCGAGGAUGCGCCUGACGCGCGCCAACCUGGGGCGCGAGCAGAGGCGAGGGCAGUGGCAGGCGAGCAGCACUCGAGCAGCGACAGCGACAGCGAUAAUGACGACUCAGAAAGCGGCAGCGACACGCCCUACCGACUUUCCUUCGUCGACGGGGUCUUUGACACGAUCGACUGGGUGAAGUCGGGCGCCGGUGGCGGCGGCAUGAAGCGGCUCCUCCCUUCGUCGAUGCGGCAGCUCUGCUACGGUCUUGCACUGACGCUGCUGCUGCGCACAAUCUGGGGCAGGGUAGUCGUAGCGCUUGCCUUUGCAGGCUUCAUCGUGAGUUGGCGCUACCGCCACACGCGAAACGUCCUCACGACACAGAAGCGGCGCUUAUACGAGGUUGCAGAGCGCGUGCCGCUGCUGUCGCAGGAGGCGGUGAAGACACUCUUUGGGGUGUACCUCGUGGAUGCUUUUUUCUUUUACGGUGCGCUACCCGAGCUGGGAGGGAUGAUGCUGCACUACGCCGUCGCCCCGUACGUGGAUAUUGGCUUUGAUCGCGGCUUCCUGGCCUUUUUUCACGGACUCACCGUGCUGAAAGUGACGCUCUACUGGGUGGUGGGCGCGGUGCUGGUGAUGCUGCUCACCGCGAUGGAGUUGACGGUUGUGGGCCCCUUGUUUGCCAACGGCGUCGAUCUGUUCUUUGUGCGCAGCUUCGAUGCCCGUUGGGACUCCGUUCUCGGGUACUGGCGCUGUGUCGUGACUCAGGUAUUCGACUCCGACCCUCCCCGCAUCGUUCGCGGCUUCCUCCGCGUGGCGGUGGUGGAGCUGUUGGUGCUGCUUGUCUUUGUGCGGGUGCCGUUUUGGGGAAUGCUCGGGUGCCGUGACUUGUUGUGGGGUGAUGGCACAGCUGCGCAGACAGGGCUUCCGCUGAAAAUGUCUCUUUCACUGAGGGUGACGACCGGGUACGACAUCAGCGCGGACGCCAGCCUUGACGAGUGGCGCCGCGCCGAGGUUCUGCGCGUUCUGGCGGAGCGGGUGCUGCUCCCCUUUGGUGCCAUGUACGCAGCCCGAGUACGAGAGCAACUGAGGCCAAUGCUUGAUUCAAUCCCUCUCGACACCAUCGCCCCCCUCGAGCUGACUGCCGCGAGCUCCACUUCCAUGACACCCGCCGCCCGAGAGCUGUGGGAGCAAGUCUGGGGCAACAUGUCAGAUCGCUCGGUGUUCCUUUUUCACCUCAUCGACCCCGAAUCCGCCAAGAGGGUCGCAGCGGCGUCGGAGGGGUUUCGCCACACGCUGGAGCGCGUUCAGGAGCCGAUAGAGUGGCUGCGCGUAGCAACAUCCGAGGAUGGCGUGUGCAACACGGUGAUGGUCUUGUCCUCCUCAGCAGAGUGGUUAGGGACGCUGCAGCGGCAGCCGCCAGUCGCAGAUUUGGAGGCCAUUGUGGCGCCGCCAUUCACGGUUUCAGAGCAGCAGAGCACCUCGACCGCGCGUGCGCAUCAGAUGGUGCUCAACGCGUGGAGAAACACGUACCAGGAUGCCAUGAGCCGCAUUGCCAGUGUCCUGCACCCCGAGGCGGUGCCGACGCCGCGGUCGUUGUACCCAGAGCACGACACGGUGCAGGAAGAGCCUCACACCGUGAGCGCGAUCAAGUGUUACAUGGCCGCACUGCACUUGUCGUACCCUUACAUGGGCAUGGGCCGCUGGCGCGCCCUCGCGUAUGAGUGGUGGUCACUGCUGCUGCUGCGCAACACAUUCGCGAACUACGUCGUCGACGUCCUCAAGUACGUGGCAGCGAUAUCAACGGUCCUCUCCUGCUUCGCCGUGUACCCCCUGCAGCGAGCGCAGCUACGCAUUCUCUUUCCGGUGGUUCGCUGGAUUGGUCAGAGUGUCGUGCACAUGGAGGACUACCUGUUUGACCCAGAGCAGCUUCGCGCGGUGGAGGGAUUUGUGGAGCAGGAGGGCGAGGACGAACUUGUUCUGCCUCCGAUGGUCGAACCGCUGGGGUUCGACCGGCGCGAGGAGUAUGUGGAAGAGGCGGCUAUCCCGUCCUACCUCCUGCUGCGGCGUGUGGUGGUGGCUGUUCUCUUCCUCGUCGUCGCGUCCGUCAUGGUUUGGAUCGUUCCCGUACUGUGCGGCACUCUCCUCUUGUGCAUCACGAGGAAUGCGCUACCGGUUCUUGUGGGGGCGGCCUCCUUGAGCUUCUUCUGCUGGAACCCCACAUUGUUCGCCCGCUCCGUCAUCUUCGGCACAGCACUCACCAUCGCCAUUGUGUUCGUCGUGCCGAUCGUCGGCAUCAUCUACAUCGGACCUUUUGCGCAGCUGUUCUGGAGCAGCUACCCCACCCUGGUGGAGGAGACAUUUGAGCGCCAGUACGACGUGCACCAGAUGGUUGGCCCUUACACGGGCUCCGCCACAGGCGGCGAUGGCAGCGCGGACGGCGACUCCGAUGACGACUGGGAAAGCGUCGACUCCCGCGACGUGGUCCAAGGAAAUGCCGAGGCCCUGCACCAGGAUAGAGGGGCAGAGCCAGACGUCGGGGACGGGCCGCACGGCGACGUGCAAGCCGUAGCGGCUCACUAGAACUUCCUCCCUCUCUCAUGCACAUAAAGGCGUGCACCGUCAUCGCGUCUCUGUGCGUGUGUGCUGUCCCUCUGUCUUGUAGUAUGCAAACUUACAUACGGACGCAUAUGGUCCCCGUUUUCUUCCCUUGCUUCACGUGUUGAACACGAACACAUAGGGCAACCAACUAACGAACCACGAAAAAAGCAAGGCGAGCGUGAUCGAGGAAAGCUACGCACAUUGGUGGAUGAUGAUGGUGGUCGUGGUGUAUGCACGUGCGUGGGUGUGCCUCUUGUUCGCGCUACGGGCGUCCGCUUCUUUUGGCUGCUUUCCCUUCUUUCUCUCCUGGCGCAACUUUUCUCUGCCUGUUGCUCGUGAUCUUGCACUGGCGCACCCUUUGAAGUCUUCCUCUUGUUUCUGACCAACUCGCUGUAGGGAGAGUGCACGCGUGUCUUGUUGCUCCACUUCUCUCUACCCCCCCCUUCUUGUGCUGAAGGCGCCGCUGAGCCCAGGAAGGUGAUGGUAACAUCCGGCAGGAGAGAAGUAAUGGCGAGAGAGCCUCGAGAGCAAGCUUCCUCGGUAAAACGUAUACGUCGCGCUGGGACAGUGGAGGUACCCAUUCACCCUCCCACACACACACAUAUACUUGGACACCAGACAUGAGAGCACCUCUACGCAUUUGCCUCUCUACUUUUUCUCAGACAUACAAAAAAAAAGACAGGAUAGCAGGGAAGAACACAGCAAAAGCAAUCAUGACACUUCUUCCUCGUGCGUCGAGUUAGCAUGCCCUGUGAUGGAAUGUGCACAUGUGCGACGCCAAUGGCGAGGGCAGAAAGGGCGGAGGUCGUCUUUCUAUCUCG